GGACCCGCACAAGCGGUGGAGCAUGUGGUUUAAUUCGAUGCAACGCGAAGAACCUUACCUGGUCUUGACAUCCUGCGAACUUUCUAGAAAUAGAUUGGUGCCUUCGGGAACGCAGUGACAGGUGCUGCAUGGCUGUCGUCAGCUCGUGUCGUGAGAUGUUGGGUUAAGUCCCGUAACGAGCGCAACCCCUAUCCUUAUUUGCCAGCACAUUAUGGUGGGAACUAUAAGGAGACUGCCGGUGAUAAACCGGAGGAAGGCGGGGACGACGUCAAGUCAUCAUGGCCCUUACGACCAGGGCUACACACGUGCUACAAUGGGAUGGACAAAGAGUCGCGAAGCCGCGAGGGGAGCC
rnacentral:rRNA from 1 species